rnacentral:rRNA from 1 species
GAGGUAGAGAAUACCAAGGCGAUCGGGUGAACUGUGGUUAAGGAACUCGGCAAAUUGCCCCCGUAACUUCGGGAGAAGGGGGACCUCUGCUGGUGAUGGGCUUUACGUUCUGAGCUGGUGGGGGUCGCAGUGGUCAGGGGGAAGCGACUGUUUACUAAAAACACAGGUCCGUGCGAAGUCGUAAGACGAUGUAUACGGACUGACGCCUGCCCGGUGCCGGAACGUUAAGGGGACCGCUUAGCCAGCUUCGGUUGGCGAAGGUGAGAACUUAAGCGCCGGUAAACGGCGGUGGUAACUAUAACCAUCCUAAGGUAGCGAAAUUCCUUGUCGGGUAAGUUCCGACCUGCACGAAUGGCGUAACGACUUCCCCGCUGUCUCAACCACAGACCCGGCGAAAUUGCACUACGAGUAAAGAUGCUCGUUUCGCGCAGCAGGACGGAAAGACCCCGGGACCUUCACUACAGCUUGACAUUGGCUUUUGGAACGUCUUGUGUAGGAUAGGUGGGAGACUAGGAAGCUGUCACGCUAGUGAUGGUGGAGUCAUUGGUGAAAUACCACUCUGGUCGUUUUGAACGUCUAACUCUGGUCCGUGAUCCGGAUCGGGGACAGUGUCUGGUGGGUAGUUUAACUGGGGCGGUUGCCUCCUAAAGAGUAACGGAGGCGCCCAAAGGUUCCCUCAGCCUGGUUGGCAAUCAGGUGUUGAGUGUAAGUGCACAAGGGAGCUUGACUGUGAGACUGACAGGUCGAGCAGGAGCGAAAGCUGGGACUAGUGAUCCGGCAUCGGCGUGUGGAAGCGGUGUCGCUCAACGGCUAAAAGGUACCCCGGGGAUAACAGGCUGAUCUUCCCCAAGAGUCCAUAUCGACGGGAUGGUUUGGCACCUCGAUGUCGGCUCGUCGCAUCCUGGGGCUGGAGUAGGUCCCAAGGGUUGGGCUGUUCGCCCAUUAAAGCGGUACGCGAGCUGGGUUUAGAACGUCGCGAGACAGUUCGGUCCCUAUCCGCUGCGCGCGCAGGAGACUUGAAGGGGGCUGUCCCUAGUACGAGAGGACCGGGACGGACGAACCUCUGGUGUGCCAGUUGUACCGCCAGGUGCACGGCUGGUUGGCUACGUUCGGAAGGGAUAACCGCUGAAAGCAUCUAAGCGGGAAGCUCGCCUUGAGAUGAGGUCUCCCACCCCGUGAGGGGGUAAGGCUCCCGGUAGAUCACCGGGUUGAUAGGCCGGAGGUGGAAGCACGGUAACGUGUGGAGCUGACCGGUACUAAUAGGCCGAGGACUUGACCAC